rnacentral:rRNA from 1 species
GUCAUGACCUCCGUGCCGCCGCUAACGCAUUAAGUAUUCCGCCUGGGGAGUACGUCGCAAGAUUAAAACUCAAAGGAAUUGACGGGGGCCCGCACAAGCAGCGGAGCAUGUGGUUUAAUUCGAAGCAACGCGAAGAACCUUACCUAGACUUGACAUCUCCUGAAUUACUCUGUAAUGGAGGAAGUCGCUUCGGCGACAGGAAGACAGGUGGUGCAUGGUUGUCGUCAGCUCGUGUCGUGAGAUGUUGGGUUAAGUCCCGCAACGAGCGCAACCCUUAUUGUUAGUUGCUACCAUUUAGUUGAGCACUCUAGCGAGACUGCCCGGGUUAACCGGGAGGAAGGUGGGGAUGACGUCAAAUCAUCAUGCCCCUUAUGUCUAGGGCUACACACGUGCUACAAUGGUCGGUACAGAGAGAUGCUAAACCGUGAGGUGGAGCCAAACUUUAAAACCGAUCUCAGUUCGGAUUGUAGGCUGAAACUCGCCUACAUGAAGCUGGAGUUGCUAGUAAUCGCGAAUCAGAAUGUCGCGGUGAAUACGUUCCCGGGCCUUGUACACACCGCCCGUCACACCAUGAGAGUUGGCAAUACCCAAAGUUCGUGAGCUAACCGCAAGGAGGCAGCGACCUAAGGUAGGGUCAGCGAUUGGGGUGAGGUCGUAACAAGGUAACCGU